rnacentral:rRNA from 1 species
GGCAAACGCUGGCGGCGUGCCUAAUACAUGCAAGUCGAGCGGAAAUUUUAUUGGUGCUUGCACCUUUAAAAUUUUAGCGGCGGACGGGUGAGUAACACGUGGGUAACCUACCUUAUAGAUUGGGAUAACUCCGGGAAACCGGGGCUAAUACCGAAUAAUACUUUUUAACACAUGUUUGAAAGUUGAAAGACGGUUUCGGCUGUCACUAUAAAAUGGACCCGCGGCGCAUUACCUAGUUGGUGAGGUAACGGCUCACCAAGGCAACGAUGCGUACCCAACCUGAAAGGGUGAUCGGCCACACUGGGACUGAAACACGGCCCAAACUCCUACGGGAGGCAGCAGUAGGGAAUCUUCCACAAUGGACAAAAGUCUGAUGGAGCAACGCCCCGUGAGUGAAAAAGGAUUUCGGUUCGUAAAACUCUGUUGCAAGGGAAAAACAAGUAGCGUAGUAACUGGCGCUACCUUGACGGUACCUUGUUAGAAAGCCACGGCUAACUACGUGCCAGCAGCCGCGAUAAUACGUAGGUGGCAAGCGUUGUCCGGAAUUAUGGGGCGUAAAGCGCGCGCAGGUGGUUCCUUAAGUCUGAUGUGAAAGCCCCCGGCUCACCCGGGGAGGGGUCAUUGAAAACUGGGGAACUU